GACGAACGCUGGCGGCGUGCUUAACACAUGCAAGUCGAACGGGUCUGCCCUGUUUUUUGCGGGGUGGGUCAGUGGCGAACGGGUGAGUAACACGUGAGUAACCUGCCCCUCACUUCUGGAUAACCGCUUGAAAGGGUGGCUAAUACGGGGUGUUCUGGCUGUGCCGCAUGGUGUGGCUGGGAAAGAUUCACUUUUGUGGGGUUUUGGUGGGGGAUGGGCUCGCGGCCUAUCAGCUUGUUGGUGGGGUGAUGGCCUGCCAAGGCUUUGACGGGUAGCCGGCCUGAGAGGGUGGGCGGUCACACUGGGACUGAGAUACGGCCCAGACUCCUGCGGGAGGCAGCAGUGGGGGGUAUUGCACAAUGGGCGGAAGCCUGAUGCAGCGACAUCGCGUGAGGGAUGGAGGCCUUCGGGUUGUGAACCUCUUUCGCCGGUGAAGAAGGUCCUGCUCUUUGUGGUGGGGUUGACGGUAGCCGGGUUAUGAAGCGCCGGCUAACUACGUG
rnacentral:rRNA from 1 species